CUUGAAGGAGCCGUUAGCCGUUAGACGAUGUUGGUCUAUUUUUCCAGUCUCUCUUCAAAUAGAGCCUCAAAAAUAAAUGUUUUUGAAGGGCUUCCUGCACUCCAGCUUGCUCCCUCUUUCUGGAUUUCUUACAUUCUGGAUUAAGAAAGCGGCUACUAUUCUAUGACAUGGCUGUCAGUUUCUCAUCUGAGCAGUCAUCCGAUAGGAAAUUAGCAGCGACUAAAAAUCAUCUGGUUUUGAGAAAUUCACCAUGAAUCGCCUCAAAACAACAUCAUCAAAA